AACGCACAUUGCGCUCCUUUGGAUCCAUCCUGGGAGCAUGCCUGUUUGACAACAUUAAAAAUAAUUGGCGAGGUGAUGCGUAACAGCGGAACCAAGCAAGUUAAACUGUGAAGUUUCUCUUUCACUUGUGGGAAGAGUACUUUUAAAUCUUUCUGCUAUUUCGUACCUUUUUGUUUUGAAGAUGUAAUAAUUUAUUGAUCCAUCUUACUUAUCAGGGUAUGUGGCAGGGCUUUUCAACCAACUGUUUGGAAACAAAUAAAUAGUACCUUAUAUAUUGUUGUCAAAUCAGGUAGGAUUACCCGCUGAACUUAA
rnacentral:misc_RNA from 2 species